rnacentral:tRNA from 2 species
GCAUAGCUCAGCUGGGAGAGCAUCUGCCUUACAAGCAGAGGGUCACAGGUUCGAACCCUGUUGUGACC